GCUGGCGGCGUGCUUAACACAUGCAAGUCGAACGGAAAGGCUCCUGCUUGCAGGGGUACUCGAGUGGCGAACGGGUGAGUAACACGUGGGUGAUCUGCCCUGCACUUCGGGAUAAGCCUGGGAAACUGGGUCUAAUACCGGAUAGGACGAUGGUUUGGAUGCCAUUGUGGAAAGUUUUUUCGGUGUGGGAUGAGCUCGCGGCCUAUCAGCUUGUUGGUGGGGUAAUGGCCUACCAAGGCGUCGACGGGUAGCCGGCCUGAGAGGGUGUACGGCCACAUUGGGACUGAGAUACGGCCCAGACUCCUACGGGAGGCAGCAGUGGGGAAUAUUGCACAAUGGGCGCAAGCCUGAUGCAGCGACGCCGCGUGGGGGAUGACGGCCUUCGGGUUGUAAACUCCUUUCGCUAGGGACGAAGCGCAAGUGACGGUACCUGGAGAAGAAGCACCGGCUAACUACGUG
rnacentral:rRNA from 1 species